rnacentral:rRNA from 1 species
GAUGAACGCUGGCGGCGUGCUUAACACAUGCAAGUCGAACGGUGAAGGCGGAGCUUUCUCUGCUGGAUCAGUGGCGAACGGGUGAGUAACACGUGAGCAAUCUGCCCCUGACUCUGGGAUAAGCGCUGGAAACUGCGUCUAAUACUGGAUACGAGCUGCUAAGGCAUCUUCAGCAGCUGGAAAGAAUUUCGGUCAGGGAUGAGCUCGCGGCCUAUCAGCUUGUUGGUGAGGUAAUGGCUCACCAAGGCGUCGACGGGUAGCCGGCCUGAGAGGGUGACCGGCCACACUGGGACUGAGAAACGGCCCAGACUCCUACGGGAGGCAGCAGUGGGGAAUAUUGCACAAUGGGCGAAAGCCAGAUGCAGCAACGCCGCGUGAGGGACGACGGCCUUCGGGUUGUAAACCUCUUUUAGCAGGGAAGAAGCGAAAGUGACGGUACCUGCAGAAAAAGCGCCGGCUAACUACGUG